AAAUCNGGGGCGACGGCGGCGGUGGUCGACGCGCUGGAGCGAUCCAGGGUGCCCUACGGGUUCCAGCCUGGUAUCCUUCAGAGGCAGCGGCCCAGCGCCCUCGCGGAACUGGGCCGGGGCCUGGUCCAACCCUUANAANCGGNGCUAAUACCGGAUGUCCUCGCCGAAGCUCAUGCUUUGGUGAGGAAAUGGAUUCCGCUUCGGGAUGGCCUCGCGAGCCUAUCAGCUUGUUGGUGAGGUAACGGGGGGGGGGGGCUUCGACGGGUAGCUGGUCUGAGAGGAUGUCCAGCCACACUGGGACUGAGACACGGCCCAGACUCCUACGGGAGGCAGCAGUGGGGAAUAUUGCACAAUGGGCGCAAGCCUGAUGCAGCGACGCCGCGUGCGGGAUGACGGCCUUAGGGUUGUAAACCGCUU
rnacentral:rRNA from 1 species